AUAGGAAAUUGUUAGUGGCAGACGGGUGAGUAAUGCGUAGGAAUCUACCUAGUAGUACGGAAUAGCCAUUAGAAAUGGUGGGUAAUACUGUAUAAUCCCCGAGGGGGAAAGAUUUAUCGCUAUUAGAUGAGCCUACGUUAGAUUAGCUAGUUGGUGAGGUAAUGGCUUACCAAGGCUAUGAUCUAUAGCUGGUCUGAGAGGACGAUCAGCCACACUGGAACUGAGAUACGGUCCAGACUCCUACGGGAGGCAGCAGUGGGGAAUAUUGGAC
rnacentral:rRNA from 1 species